rnacentral:rRNA from 1 species
UACGUAGGGACCGAGCGUUGUCCGGAAUCAUUGGGCGUAAAGAGCGUGUAGGCGGCCACUUAAGUCCUGCGUGAAAUCUUGCGGCUCAACCGCAAGCGGUCGUGGGAAACUGGGUGGCUAGAGUGCGGGAGAGGAGAGUGGAAUUCCUGGUGUAGCGGUGGAAUGCGCAGAUAUCAGGAAGAACACCCGUGGCGAAGGCGGCUCUCUGGAACGCAACUGACGCUGAGACGCGAAAGCGUGGGGAGCAAACGGG